rnacentral:rRNA from 1 species
UACGUAGGGCGCAAGCGUUGUCCGGAAUUAUUGGGCGUAAAGAGCUCGUAGGCGGUUUGUCGCGUCUGCUGUGAAAACCUAAGGCUCAACCUUGGGCUUGCAGUGGGUACGGGCAGACUAGAGUGCGGUAGGGGUGACUGGAAUUCCUGGUGUAGCGGUGGAAUGCGCAGACUAUCAGGAGGAACACCGAUGCGAAGGCAGGUCACUGGGCCGCAAC